rnacentral:lncRNA from 1 species
ACAAUUCCAAACAAAAGGUUAAUAACCUUAAGGAGACUGUUUUCUAGGCAUUCUGUUUUAUAUAUACAUUAUACUAACCAUGGAGAUAUAACUAGGUAGUUCAUUAAACUACAUAUUUUUUUAAAUUUCUCUUGUUAGGUAUGCCAUUGAGGCAGAUGAAUUCAGACAUGCUCCAGGCUUGGGGAAAUUUGGAACUAGUAACUAUUAAAAUGACAAGCAACUUGCCAGACGGAGUCAAUGAAAUCAACCAUUUUCCUAAACUGAAAAUGUAGUGCACAGAUUAAAAUAAUGAGUCUCAGCUACUGCAUUGACUGUAAGAGAUCGGAGUUCACACUGAAAGGAGGGCCCCAUGCAUGUUGCAAAAAUUCCUUUUCAUCACACUGGGAGAAUAUGUACGUUGCAAAGAACUGAAAAUAGAGGGGGCUGACCUGGACUAUAUGGCUAAAAUUCCCAGGGUGAAUUCUGGGAUACAGAAAGUCCUAGAGUGAGGUUAACAGGCUGUAAAAAAAGAACAUUUCCCAGUCCUGCUGCUGUGGAACUGGACACAAGAAGAAACACAACUGGAUAUCCUGCUCCUUGAAGGUACGAAUGAUAGAUUGGGGGACAGCUUGGCUACUACCCACCCCUCAAAGACUCUGCAUGGGACAGAGGGUUAGUCAGAUGCUUCCUGAAGAUGCUGAGAGAGAGGCUGAUUGUCACUGGGUCCCCAAGAUGACAAGGCUUUCAGAAAAUCUUCCCAUUAAAAACAUAAAUGAAGCUUGUCCCACAUGGAUUUUUAAAUGGAAAGUUAAGAUUCAACUGAGAUGAUAAUCAAAUAUUGAUUCCUGAAAUGUAUAACCCUGCAUGGACAGGUGAGUUCUGCAUUCAUUCCUGUGUGUGAUAUACGGAACACAAUGAGCCAAGUCUGUGAGGGCUUCUCUUAAUGCUGAGGAUGAUCAUGGUUCAAUACUAAAAUUUCCAUUUCUUGCAAAUAAUUUCAUUCUGUAAUUAAUGUUCGAGGCUAUAUGUGAUAUGCUGUGUGCUCACAAAUAUGCCCCAGUUGCGUGCUGCAGCACAACAGAACUAUAAAAGAAUGAAAUUACAUACAUUCCUUUCUAUAACAUAAAAUCACAGAGCUCACAGUGAAUCACUUC